CUUUUUCAUUAUGCUAAAAUAUGUACCUUCCUCUAACAUUCCUGUUUUGUUUUUGUUUUAUUUUUUGAAACAGGGCAUUGUGGAAUAUUAGUUGAAGCUAUGUUACAUUUGUUUAUGCUGUGGAAUAUUUGUUGAAUGAUGCAAAGGUUAUUGGAGGAAUUCUUGCAUUGGUGCCUGUCCAUCUCUUCCUUCAGAUGAGGCCAGCAGAGUCUUGGCGUCUUGGUUCAAUCUUUGCUGUGGCUGACUGAGUACUUGGGAGUUUUUCUUGUCUGCCCUCUCUUAGGUCCCCUCAGCACUGGAGCAGGCUGUGUUUGAGGAUUCCAAGGACCUCGCAGGCGAAAGGCAAGGAAGAAGAACCUACUUUGGACAUGAGGCAAAGCGUUCCAGAGAUGACAGGAGCCAGACAUGAGAGACAGUAGGUGCUGCACAGGAAGAAGGAACAGUAUGCACGGGACAUGGAAAUCGUUCAGGUUAGCUGGAGUGCAGCAUGUGAAGGGGAAAACACAGGGACGAGCCUGCGGGGAUCAACGGAGGCGAGAACCAUAAAGAGGACAAGCAUGGGUUGGAAUUCUUCCCUGAUGAAGUAUGAAAAAUGCGAUAGCAUUCCUGAUAGAACUGCAAUGAUGAAAACUGUACCUCAAGAAACAAUCCUCUGUCCCUCUAGAAGACAACGUCUGGGGAGAUUUGUCGCAAAGGAAGAAAUGUGAGCAAGGCAGUGAGGGCCCCACUGCCCUUCCUGGGCAGAGCACAGGCUGCUAAUCC